CAGUAUGAGUAUUGUACCAUGCGGUGAGUGACCUUGUCUCCUUCCACCUACUCAUUGCAGGGUAGAAUACUCCCACCA
rnacentral:pre_miRNA from 1 species